CCUACGGGAGGCAGCAGUGAGGAAUAUUGGUCAAUGGACGCAAGUCUGAACCAGCCAUGCCGCGUGCAGGAAGAAGGCUCUAUGAGUUGUAAACUUCUUUUGUACGAGGGUAAAGGCAUCCACGCGUAUAUGUUUGAAUGUAUCCUACGAAUAAGCAUCGGCUAACUCCGUGCCAGCAGCCGCGGUAAUACGGAGGAUUCGAGCGUUAUCCGGAUUGAUUGGGUUUAAAGGGUGCGUAGGUGGUCGGUUAAGUUAGAGGUGAAAGUCUGUGGCUCAACUUCGGAAUUGCCUUUGAUACUGGUCGACUAGAGAGUAUUUGCGGUAGGCGGAAUGUAUGGUGUAGCGGUGAAAUGCUUAGAGAUCAGACAGAACUCCGAUUGCGAAGGCAGCUUACCAAGCUACAUCUGACGUUGAGGCACGAAAGCGUGGGGAGCAAACAGGAUUAGAUAUCCUGGUAGUC
rnacentral:rRNA from 1 species